CUCCUUGCUUUGAUGCAUUACCCAAUGUGAGGAAGGGAAGCUGUACCCUCAGGCGUUUUGAAAGGACGUGUAGUCUAUCUGGGUCUACCAUUCCAUGGAGGGAGGGCUGCAGACUCACAGAAAGACACAAAGGUCUGCUCUUCACGCUGCGAAGUGGAGCACCGUUGGCCUUAAUUACACUCGCAAGCCUGUGAGCAUCGUUCUGUUCCUUUAAUAAGUGCCAGUAAGUACUCUCUGUGCAUGAGCUAUGGAGCACAGGAAAAGGUAAGCAAUUGUCCCUGUCUAUCAAAGAGCACAGUCUGCCUGCCCAUGGACGUGCAGUGACCAUGAGAAUACCGUGUCCUCGUUACAUAACGGGAGCUCCUCUACAUCCAGCCUCUCCAUAUGGUUAGAAGGCUUCAAGAAGCAGACAGGUAUUGAGCUCAUACAAACUCUCUUGGCAACGUGUAAGCUCCGCGGCUAAAGUGUACAGCCUCACUGGGCACUCCAACUUUUUCCUCUGACUCUGGCUACCUGAAUUUCUUCUCACCUGGACAGGAAAGACUGCCCUGAAUUCUAAACUAAGAGUCCCCGCAAAAGUUUUUCAGAUCAGCACAGAUUAAUCGGUGAAGUCCACACUGACUGGAGGCCUACACAUGAGGUUUAGACACAUUGAUGCAGAUUAAGAGAAGAAUAAGUGUAUCCUUUUGGUAGAGCAGCUGGAAAUCCUCUUCCCUGCUUUGUGGUCUGGCCUUCGACACCUCAAUUCAUCUCCUUCAAACUUAUGUGAAAUAAAUAAUCAUUGAUA